AGUGAACGCUGGCGGUAGGCCUAACACAUGCAAGUCGAACGGCAGCACAGUAAGAGCUUGCUCUUACGGGUGGCGAGUGGCGGACGGGUGAGGAAUACAUCGGAAUCUACUUUUUCGUGGGGGAUAACGUAGGGAAACUUACGCUAAUACCGCAUACGACCUACGGGUGAAAGCAGGGGAUCUUCGGACCUUGCGCGAUUGAAUGAGCCGAUGUCGGAUUAGCUAGUUGGCGGGGUAAAGGCCCACCAAGGCGAGGAUCCGUAGCUGGUCUGAGAGGAUGAUCAGCCACACUGGAACUGAGACACGGUCCAGGCUCCUACGGGAGGCAGCAGUGGGGAAUAUUGGACAAUGGGCGCAAGCCUGAUCCAGCCAUACCGCGUGGGUGAAGAAGGCCUUCGGGUUGUAAAGCCCUUUUGUUGGGAAAGAAAAGCAGCAGGUUAAUACCCCGCUGUUCUGACGGUACCCAAAGAAUAAGCACCGGCUAACUUCGUG
rnacentral:rRNA from 1 species